rnacentral:lncRNA from 1 species
AUGGACUGGGAUGGACUGGGAGGGGAUUGGGAUGAAUUGGGAUGGACUGGGAGUUACUGGGAGGAUGUCGCAGUUCCCAAAACGGCCACGAGGGGGAGCUGGGAGUUCAUUGAGAAAGACUGGGAGGGAACUGGGAUGAACUGGGAGGGACUGGAAAAGCCACUUAAGAGCACUGGGCUCAACUGGGAGGGACUGGGAUGGACUGGAAGGGGAUUGGGACAAACUGGGAGUUACUGGGAGGACGUUGCAGUUCUCAAAACGGCCACCAGGGGGAGCUGGGAGUUCAUUGAGAAGGACUGGGAGGGAACUGGGAUGAACUGGGAAAGAGUUGGGAUGGACUGGGAGCAACUGGGAAUGGGUUGGGAUAAACUGGGAGGGACUGGGAUGGACUGGGAGUUACUGGGAGGACGUUGCAGUUCCCAAAGCAGCCACCAGGGGGAGCUGUGGAGAUGCUGGGAGUUCAUUGACAGGGACUGGGAUGGACUGGGAGGGACUGGGAGGGACUGGGAGGUGAUUGGGACAAACUGGGAUGGACUGGGAGUUACUGGGAGGACGUUGCAGUUCUCAAAACGGCCACCAGGGGGAGUUGGGAGUUCAUUGAGAAAGACUGGGAGGGAACUGGGAUGAACUGGGAGGGACUGGAAAAGCCACUUAAGGGCACUGGGAGGCACUGGGCUCAACUGGGAGGCACUGGGAGGGGAUUGGGACAAACUGGGAUGAACUGGGAGUUACUGGGAGGAUGCUGCAGUUCUCAAAACGGCCACCAGGGGGAGUUGGGAGUUCAUUGGGAGGGACUGGGAGGGGAUUGGGACAAACUGGGAGCUACUGGGAGGACCCUGGAGAGCCCCUGGGCCAUACUGGGAAUCAUGGGGCUGAACUGGGUUGAACUGGGAAUGACCUGCACCACAAUUGGACACAACUGCAAUACCAAACUCAGCCACCAGAGGGCGCCACUGAGUUAACUCAAUUUCCAAUCCCGUCCCACCAACCUGUACUGGUUCUUACUGGUUUUUACUGGUUUUUACUGGUUUAGAUCCUGCACUACAGCCCCGGGGCCGUUUUUUGGGGUGAUCUCGUGG